rnacentral:tRNA from 1 species
UCCGAUAUGGUCUAGUGGCUAGGAUUUGCCGCUCUCAUCAGAGUAGUCCGCUCUCAGCGCCGGCAAGGCCCGGGUUCGAUUCCCGGUGUCGGAA